AGCUUUGUGCAGUGGCAGUAUCGUAGCCAAUGAGUUUAUCUGAGGCGCAAUUAUUGUUCAUUGAAAACUUCCCAACAGCCCAACAUGAUGACUUGGAAUAUAGGUGACAUUGGCAAUUUUUGACAGUCUCUACAGAGA
ensembl:snRNA U4 U4 spliceosomal RNA